AGAGUUUGAUCCUGGCUCAGGACGAACGCUGGCGGCGUGCCUAAUACAUGCAAGUAGAACGCUGAAGGAAGGAGCUUGCUCUUUCCGGAUGAGUUGCGAACGGGUGAGUAACGCGUAGGUAACCUGCCUGGUAGCGGGGGAUAACUAUUGGAAACGAUAGCUAAUACCGCAUAAGAGUAGAUGUUGCAUGACAUUUGCUUAAAAGGUGCAAUUGCACCACUACCAGAUGGACCUGCGUUGUAUUAGCUAGUUGGUGAGGUAACGGCUCACCAAGGCGACGAUACAUAGCCGACCUGAGAGGGUGAUCGGCCACACUGGGACUGAGACACGGCCCAGACUCCUACGGGAGGCAGCAGUAGGGAAUCUUCGGCAAUGGACGGAAGUCUGACCGAGCAACGCCGCGUGAGUGAAGAAGGUUUUCGGAUCGUAAAGCUCUGUUGUAAGAGAAGAACGAGUGUGAGAGUGGAAAGUUCACACUGUGACGGUAUCUUACCAGAAAGGGACGGCUAACUACGUGCCAGCAGCCGCGGUAAUACGUAGGUCCCGAGCGUUAUCCGGAUUUAUUGGGCGUAAAGCGAGCGCAGGCGGUUAGAUAAGUCUGAAGUUAAAGGCUGUGGCUUAACCAUAGUACGCUUUGGAAACUGUUUAACUUGAGUGCAAGAGGGGAGAGUGGAAUUCCAUGUGUAGCGGUGAAAUGCGUAGAUAUAUGGAGGAACACCGGUGGCGAAAGCGGCUCUCUGGUCUGUAACUGACGCUGAGGCUCGAAAGCGUGGGGAGCGAACAGGAUUAGAUACCCUGGUAGUCCACGCCGUAAACGAUGAGUGCUAGGUGUUGGGUCCUUUCCGGGACUCAGUGCCGCAGCUAACGCAUUAAGCACUCCGCCUGGGGAGUACGACCGCAAGGUUGAAAC
rnacentral:rRNA from 1 species